UGGGGAAUUUUGGACAAUGGGGGAAACCCUGAUCCAGCCAUCCCGCGUGUGCGAUGAAGGCCCUCGGGUUGUAAAGCACUUUUGGCAGGAAAGAAACGUCGCGGGUUAAUACCCCGCGAAACUGACGGUACCUGCAGAAUAAGCACCGGCUAACUACGUGCCAGCAGCCGCGGUAAUACGUAGGGUGCAAGCGUUAAUCGGAAUUACUGGGCGUAAAGCGUGCGCAGGCGGUUCGGAAAGAAAGAUGUGAAAUCCCAGAGCUUAACUUUGGAACUGCAUUUUUAACUACCGGGCUAGAGUGUGUCAGAGGGAGGUGGAAUUCCGCGUGUAGCAGUGAAAUGCGUAGAUAUGCGGAGGAACACCGAUGGCGAAGGCAGCCUCCUGGGAUAACACUGACGCUCAUGCACGAAAGCGUGGGGAGCAAACAGGAUUAGAUACCCUGGUAGUCCACGCCCUAAACGAUGUCAACUAGCUGUUGGGGCCUUCGGGCCUUGGUAGCGCAGCUAACGCGUGAAGUUGACCGCCUGGGGAGUACGGUCGCAAGAUUAAAACUUAAAUGAAUUGAC
rnacentral:rRNA from 1 species